rnacentral:rRNA from 1 species
AGCUCCAAUAGCGUAUAUUAAAGUUGUUGCAGUUAAAAAGCUCGUAGUUGGACUUCUGCGGGUGGCGGCCGGUCGUGCUCGAAAUGGGCGUGAACUUGGCGUGCUGCCCGCAUCUUUGGGGAGAUUGUGCGUGGCAUUAAGUUGUCGUGCAUGGGAUUCUCAUCAUUUACUGUGAAAAAAUUAGAGUGUUUAAAGCAGGCCUUUGCCUUGAAUACAUUAGCAUGGAAUAAUAAGAUAGGACCGUUGUCUAUUUUGUUGGUUUACAGAUGUCGGUAAUGAUUAAUAGGGAUAGUUGGGGGUAUUCGUAUUCAGUUGUCAGAGGUGAAAUUCUUGGAUUUUCGGAAGACGCACGACUGCGAAAGCAUUUACCAAGGAUGUUUUCAUUAAUCAAGAACGAAAG